ACUGCUUCCUGCAAGUAGUUUACUACCUGCAAGUAGGGAUCCAGGAAAUUAGAUCAGAAAAGUGAACUUACACUUAUUCUGGCAUCUGUCCCAUGCCAGAUACUUUCCAUACAUUGCCUCCUACUUAUAAAACACCCUUCUGGGCAGGCACUAAAUCCCCUUUAACAGAGCAUAAGCCAGUGCUCACUGUGAUGAGGGAAGUUGCCCCGGGAGCAGGGAUUCCAACCUGUGACAGUUCAGAUUCCAAAUUCUAAAGCACUAUGAGCCCCUAAAUGUACCCAAAUGUCUUGUUUAUUCUUUUUCAUCCGGGAGGUAGAGGUGAAAAAUGAGACUGACAGUAAGUCUAGACAGAGCAGUGUGGGCUGGGCAAACAUUUAGAUGACUCAGCCUCCAUCCAUCAUUUUCCUACAGUCUGCUGAGGAUGUGACCAGGAGCCUCCUUAACUUGGAACAAAGAAUGCUUCAGCGAGGAAUGCUCUUUCUCUGUAACUGAUCAUUCCUAGACAUCAUUCAGAACACAUCACGUUUACCACCUCUUCCAGGAAGCCCGUCAACAAGUGCGAAGGGUCAGAGAAUCUACUCUUCUUGCAAGAUGACAAGUGAGCCCGCUCAGAGAAGACCUGAGACUCCUGGGUCAGAGACAAAAGGACUUGAUUCCAGCAGCACAGAACAAGUUUCUGCAGCAUGUAAUACACUUCAGCACCAGCUGCAAAGAUCAUCACGUUGUAAAACUGUGGACAGGGACAGUGGUGACAGUGUCCGUCCCUCAGUAUUCCUUGGAAGACAAUUUCGUCUGUAUAGCUUCCUGCUCAGAAAGAGCCGCUCAGUGGCUCUGUAAAGACGGUACCCGAGCCCCAGUUCAAUUGUGUUGGCACAAUGGCGAGCUGAGAACAGAAGCGUGAUUGAAUUUUGUGGGCAUCUGAAAUGGAUCUCACUCUCCUGUCUCUUAGCAAACCACUGUGACAACCAGCAAGGCUCUGUCAUGAAAUAUACGCACAGCCAUGUCUGCCACAUGGCAUCCCAUUCACAGGCAGCUUGU